UACACUCCUACGGGAGGCAGCAGUGGGGAAUAUUGCACAAUGGGCGCAAGCCUGAUGCAGCCAUGCCGCGUGUAUGAAGAAGGCCUUCGGGUUGUAAAGUACUUUCAGCGGGGAGGAAGGCAAUACGGUUAAUAACCGUGUUGAUUGACGUUACCCGCAGAAGAAGCACCGGCUAACUCCGUGCCAGCAGCCGCGGUAAUACGGAGGGUGCAAGCGUUAAUCGGAAUUACUGGGCGUAAAGCGCACGCAGGCGGUCUGUCAAGUCGGAUGUGAAAUCCCCGGGCUCAACCUGGGAACUGCAUUCGAAACUGGCAGGCUGGAGUCUUGUAGAGGGGGGUAGAAUUCCAGGUGUAGCGGUGAAAUGCGUAGAGAUCUGGAGGAAUACCGGUGGCGAAGGCGGCCCCCUGGACAAAGACUGACGCUCAGGUGCGAAAGCGUGGGGAGCAAACAGGAUUAGAAACCCCAGUAGUCCCA
rnacentral:rRNA from 1 species